rnacentral:lncRNA from 1 species
UUGUUGGGUCCACCCCAGAGUUUCAAUUUGGUCAAUCCGGGGAUCAGAGGUGGGGCCUAAGAAUUUGCAUUUUUUAACUUUUUUUUUUUUUUUUUUUUGAGAUGAAGUCUCGCUCUGUCGCCCAGGCCGGAGUGCAGUGGCAAGAUCUCGGCUCACUACAACCUCUGCCUCCCGGGUUCAAGCAAUUCUCCUGGCUCAGCCUCGUGAGUAGCUGGGAUUACAGGUGCGUGCCGCCAUACGUGGCUAAUUUUUAUAUUUUUGGUAGAGAUGGGGUUUUGUCAUGUUGGCCAGGCUGGUCUCAAACUCCUGACCUCAAGUGAUCCGCCCGCCUCAGCCUCCCAAAGUGCUGGGAGUACAGUUGUGAGCCACCACACCCAGCCAGAAUUUGCAUUUUUAAAAAGGUCCCUGGCCGGGCAUGGUGGCUCAAGCCUGUAAUCCCAGCACUUUGGGAGGCCGAGACGGGCGGAUCACGAGGUCAGCAGAUCGAGACCAUCCUGGCUAACACGGUGAAACCCGUCUCUACUAAAAAAUACAAAAAUCUAGCCGGGCGAGGUGGUGGGCGCCUGUAGUCCCAGCUACUCGGGAAGCUGAGGCAGGAGAAUGGCGUAAACCCGGGAGGCAGAGCUUGCAGUGAGCUGAGAUCCGGCCACUGCACUCCAGCCCAGGCGACAGAGCGAGACUCCGUCUCAAAAAAAAAAAAAAAAAAAAAAAGGUCCCUGAUGAUGCUGAUGCAGGACCACACUUUGAGAACCACUAUGGUAGAGGUUUAGGAAGAGACAGAGAAAAAUCUCUCUAGGCUACAAGACUGUCUGAUGCUGAAGGUCUUGGCCUAGGUCAGCUAAGGUGCUCUUUAGGGCUGACAUUCUGUGAUUGUUAAACAGCUGUAUCUGAAUGGAGCUAGGAUCUGGAAGCCCAAGUCUCCUUGUCAAUGUCUGCUUGGUUCCCAAGGACAUAUGCAAAUGAAAGAGGGCCAUGGUACACAGAAGACAUUGCUGGAAAGUGUGCUCUUUUUACUACUGGUUGGAGUACCAUCUAUAGUUAAAUUGUAUAAAGGAAAAAAAUCCUAUGAGUCAGUUUCCAGAUCUAUGAGUGCUUUGAAGAUUACAUCAAUGGAGUUCCAUAUAUUGAAACCACAAGCUUCCUGCCAAUUGUCUGGAUUUACAAAGAUCUAUUUCACUUUGAACUAAUGAGGAAGAACUCCCAAGGUUAUUAUCUAUAGACAUGCAUGCACUUUUAAGGGACAUUUAAAAGCCAGAUCUUUACCCCCAGUUUUUUUCCUAUCUUCAUAUAAACAUAAUGAUUAAUAUAGAAAAGAAAGCUGAAUUACUUAUGUUGUUCCCAAAAUUGAUGUAGCAACUUUUAAGAGUACUAAUAUACAAUGCACAUACUUCUCCCUGACACUAUGUAAUACUGUUAAGUAAUAUUAUUUUCCACUUUUUACAGGUGUGGAAACUGAAGCUCAGAGAGGUUAAGCAGCUCACCUAACGUCCACCACUAGUAAGUGGCAGCAGCAUCAAGUCCCCAACUCAGGACUAACUUUAAAGGUCACAUUCUACUACACCAUUAUGCCUGUAAGAGAACCACAGGAGUGAAAUUAUGUCAUAGAAAUAUUAACAUUUGGUUGAGGGAAGAAAAAGACCAGUCAAAAAAUGUAGUAUCAGUUUGGGUAGAGGAUGGAGGGUGGUGGGUAGAGUGACUGGAUAGGUUAUAAAAUUGUUAGGUGGAAAAAAAGGUUGGGAGUAGGGUAAAAUGAGGGAGGCAGUCACUUGGGAAGCAGGGGGAGGAGGGUACAACUCCAGGUCAAAACAGUGCCCAGCUGAGCUAUAUUGGAUAAGAGUAAAUAACACUGGCACCCAUUUAACUCAUAUGCACACAUGAGAGGUUGCAUAAGCAACACUUUGUACAGAGCAGACUUUUCUAGGUCUAAAUUUAAAAGACCUUUGUUGAAUUUAAAUUAAAAGGCAGGCUCCAGUAAAGACUAGAUUUGAUUUCCAUAAUUGGCGGAUGCAGGUAAUAGAUCCUCAGAAAAUAUUUGUUCAAUGAUUGAGGACAAAACGGGAAGGCACCUGAAGUGGUUGGGAAAGGCUUGCCAAGUCAAACUGAGUAUGAAAUGGCACUUGUAUGUGUAAGGGUAAUAGCAUUUAUUAUCUACGAUGUGCCAGUUUAAGUGCUUCACAUAGGCAACAA